ensembl:lncRNA
GGCGGGGUUAGGGUUAGGGGUGGGCGCGGCAUUGCAUUUUAAGCCAUUUGAUGGAAAAAGUAUAUACAGUUCGAGGACUCGAUACAUGACAGCAUAUUAGUACACGAUACAAAAGAAAACCGGCAUUAACAUCCCCAGCACGUCUGAGCCAUGGAAACACUGUCCUGAUAACCAAAUUAUCCAGAUAAAUAUAUUUAUAAUAUUUAUAUAUUAUAUUUACAGAAUACCUUAAAUAUACAACCACCGUGUAUUCUAUAAACAAAUAUAAAUCAUUUAGGCACAGAUUUGUUGAGUUUUUUUUCUUCUUUGAAUAAUGGCUGAAUCGGUUUUCAACACGUUCAACAUUUGUGUUUCUAGAUCUUGAUCUUCAGGUCUAAACCCUGGGGUUCAGGUCUAAACCCUGGGGUCCUAACCCUGGGGUUCAGGUCUUAACCCUGGGGUCUAAACCCUGGGUUCAGGUCUAUACCCUGGGUUCAGGUCUUAACCUGGGGUUCAGGUCUAAGCCCUGGGAUCUAAACCCUGGAUUCAGGUCUAAACCUGGGGUUCAGUUCUAAGCCCUUUGGUCUAAACCCUGGGUUCAGGUCUUAACCCGGGGUUCAGGUCUAAGCCCUGGGGUCUAAACCCUGGAUUCAGUUCUAAACCCUGGGGUCUAAGCCCUGGGGUCUAAGCCUUGGGGUUCAGAUCUAAACCCUGGGUUCAGGUUUAAACCCGGGGUUCAGGUCAAAGCCCUUGGGUCUGAAACCCUUGGUUCAGGUCUAAGCCCUUGGGUCUAAACCCUGGGUUCAGGUUUAAACCCGAGGUUCAGGUCCAAGCCCUUGGGUCUAAACCCUGGGUUCAGGUCCAAACCCUGGGGUCUGAGACCC